rnacentral:tRNA from 1 species
GGAUUCUUAGCUCAGUUGGUAGAGCAGCGCCCUCUUAAGGCGAAGGUCCCGGGUUCGAUCCCCGGAGGAUCCACCA